rnacentral:rRNA from 1 species
UACGUAGGGUGCGAGCGUUGUCCGGAAUUACUGGGCGUAAAGAGCUCGUAGGUGGUUUGUCGCGUUGUUCGUGAAAACCGGGGGCUUAACCCUCGGCGUGCGGGCGAUACGGGCAGACUUGAGUACUGCAGGGGAGACUGGAAUUCCUGGUGUAGCGGUGGAAUGCGCAGAUAUCAGGAGGAACACCGGCGGCGAAGGCGGCUUCCUGGCCCAUUACUGACGUUCGAGGUACGAAAGCGUGGGUAGCAAACAGG